rnacentral:rRNA from 1 species
GAUGAACGCUGGCGGCGUGCCUAAUACAUGCAAGUCGAGCGAACAGACGAGGAGCUUGCUCCUCUGACGUUAGCGGCGGACGGGUGAGUAACACGUGGAUAACCUACCUAUAAGACUGGGAUAACUUCGGGAAACCGGAGCUAAUACCGGAUAAUAUAUUGAACCGCAUGGUUCAAUAGUGAAAGACGGUUUUGCUGUCACUUAUAGAUGGAUCCGCGCCGCAUUAGCUAGUUGGUAAGGUAACGGCUUACCAAGGCAACGAUGCGUAGCCGACCUGAGAGGGGGAUCGGCCACACUGGAACUGAGACACGGUCCAGACUCCUACGGGAGGCAGCAGUAGGGAAUCUUCCGCAAUGGGCGAAAGCCUGACGGAGCAACGCCGCGUGAGUGAUGAAGGUCUGCGGAUCGUAAAACGCUGUUAUUAGGGAAGAACAAAUGUGUAAGUAACUAUGCACGUCUUGACGGUACCUAAUCAGAAAGCCACGGCUAACUACGG